AAUUAGUGUAGAUUAAAAAAAUAGUAAGAUAAAAUCCAAGAGUUUAAAUAAAAAGCGAAUAUAUUCCCCUAAAAUAGUAAAGUUAAUUAUUCGGAAUCAAAACAGCACAAUACCCUAGCCUUAAUCCGGAAAAAAACCUUUUGUUAAUCGUGAAAUUAUGGUUUGGGGCCUUGUAAAUACGAAUUCAACAUUGUAGAAAACGUAUCAAGAACAUUAAAUGAACUUCUGUUAAAAAUAAAAAUACACUUGACAUUGUCUGCCGAUGGACGAUGGAUAUUUUUGACCGCGUAUGUGCGUCAGAGUUGGUACUGCGAGGCGGCGUUGGUCUUCAAAUAACGCUUCGAAAUACAACUAAGUGUUAAAUUUAACCCUCUUCGCGCACUUGGUUGAUAUCCUCUUAAACUAUAGGAUAACAUCACCGCCGUCCAAGAAGUACGAAGGACGGUAGAAGGUUGGCCCUGGUGAAAUAUGUAGAGAGACUCUGCCGCCGAAUACAGACAUUCAACACAUCGCCAAUUUGCGUCCACGAUCCGACGAAAGAGGAGGACGAUGUAAAAAAGGCAAUUUUUAUGACCGUCUAGAACGUGCCCUUGACCGCUGCCCUAGCCAGUAUGUGCCGGACGACUUUAUCGCCAUAGAGUGCAAUGAAGGCUGUAUGUUUCCGAUUUACAGUGUUGAUCUGACGUGUUCUUACUGAGGAAAAGAUGCGGAUAUUUCACGCAUAUGAAAACUAUGUAAAUUAAACUGUUCAAAAGUGCUGCCAGAUAUCCACUGCUCAGAAAAAGAUAAGACACUUCUUGGCUGUUAUAUUGAACCGAAUUUUGUAAAUUACAACCCAAUGAUUUUCCAAAUCCCAGGGUUCGAUUAAUGAGUCUAAUAAAAAAAUUUAGCGUGCUGUAAUGAUUUUCUAAAUUAAUAUAAAUAAUAUAUUGUUAAUCAAUAAAUCUUUACUAUACUUC